CUGAGUCUUGCGUAUACAUCUGUCCCACGUUGAUCAUUAAAAUUUCAAUUAUUGUAUAUAAAUUAUAAUAUAGUAUUUUGUGAAAGAAACAUAAACGAACAACAAUCAUGGAGAUUAUGGAAGAUGGCAACUUAGUAGAUCGCGUUAGAAUUUUGUUGCAACGCGACAUGCAAUAUUAUCAGGAGAUGCAGACGGUGUUAAAAGAGCCACUGUGCACGCGAAUAUGCGGUGGAAAACUUGACUUUCCAAGGCACGCUUCUUUCGCUGCCAUUAAAAUUGUCACAUGGUGGGAAUUAGACUUCCAAGCAACUUUCAAACGCCAUUCUGGGUUAACAAGUUUUGAAGCUGCUGAUAGUGCAGGAACCGAAGACAAGGUCAUUAAACAAAUUCUGCCAUCCGAAUUUGUAUUAACAGUAGUUGAUACUGCUGAUCAAUUAUUAGAACACUUGCAUUUGCUCAUUCAAGAGUCAUUGGAUCAUGCAGACUUAACAGUAUUAACAGCCACAUUGGGUGCAGCAGCAUUGGUCAGAAAUUGUUUAUGGUGUUAUAGUCAACAGUCUAAAAGCACAGUUUCUGCACAGACAGGCGAAAAGAUAAACAAGUCGUAUAAAUCGUAUCAUGAGAUGGCUGAAGCUGUAGCAGAAAGAUUACUCGACUUACAUUGCCGCUUAAUUUCAUUGUACAUCCUCAAUGAGGCAGACUCUCUUAAUUGGCACGACACAAAAUCGUUUUUCGAACGCGAACGCUGCUCCUUUGUGAUACAAAUGUGGUGGCUGUAUAUGCAAGGAACAAAAACUGACUUGUGGGACACUGUUUCGCCCAAAAUGGCGCAGCGUAUUUUCACCGGGAUGCUGAACGAAUCGUUGUCCAUUAUUGUGACACGAUUCAUUUAUGCUCGACCAAGUUUAGCACGAGCCGAACAAUUUUGGACGGAUGCCUUUAAUGUACUUUGUUGCACCGGAUAUCUUGCUUUGAACGCCUGCCUCAGCGUCAGCGAAAUGAUUGGAAUGAAAUUAAAUAAAUUACCCGUCGCCAUUAGAGAUAUUCAUGCUAAAUGUAACGAAUUGUUUAUUUGCUUAUUACUGAGGGGCACGCCACUUCAAGAAUUGUAUCAGGCUUUCCGUGGAGGCUUCGACAAUUUAAAAAUUUCACAACCGCGUCUCGGACCUGCACCCUGGCUGCUAAUAUGCGCGCCCAAUUUAUCAGGAUCAAUCGAUUCUAACGUCUACAUCACAAGUCUGCCUGAAGACAGAGCAGUAAUUCUAGAAUUGAAUAUACUUAGACACCAACCACAACCAAAUUGGCCUCAAAUAAUAAAGGUAAUUUCUAUGGACGACUACGCCGUAUCCAAGAUCUUAUUGGACAUUUUAAUUCACGAUUGCGGUGAUUACACGUCCGAGGACAAUUACUACGCUUCGAAGACUUUCGAAAAAGAUGUGAAAAACUGUGGAGGUUUCCUUUGUAACACUGCAUUGUGCAAUCAUUUUAUAAAAUCAACGUCACCCUUAAACCUGUAUAGUCUAAUGCAUGUUUUGAGUUACAUAGUGCAGGAACCUGACCGUGUUAUCGUGCCAUGCUUGAAACAGAAUCAUAACUGGUCCAAUUACCUCAAUCGGCAACAGGUAUGGAAUCAAUGCAGGCCCCCUUGGUUGAAUGCAAUUUUAAAACCGUUGAAGAACAUGAUGCCACCGAUCAUUGAAUUGUUACUUGAAGCAGCAAAAACAGGGGCCAGCAUGUAUCAGGCGAUGUCGCUAGUAAUCGGCUGCUUCGCCGAAUUAUAUAUAACAUUACCAACCACCAUUUUGAAGAUCGCUCUCGCGUUAAAUGACAAUGUCCCGGCUCAUUGCCACCCGAUCGGCGGGAACGUUCUUUUCCAUAUUUUGUGCACGUCCCUUUAUUCCGCUCUCUUCGAGUUCUCGGGAAGCUGCAAGCUAGAAACGGACGUCGACUCACCACCCAAAGGAACGAUCCACGAAUUGAGCUUGUUCGAAUCCAACGAUGAUUCGACGAUAGCCACUAUCUUGGCUGAAGCAAUCUGUAGCAUCGACGAGGACAAUAAACACACGUCUCAGAUCGAUGACUUCUACCAGCUAGUGAAUCAGAAUAUUCAAAGAAUGAACGCGCAUCCUCGCGAUAAGGAGGUAGCUGGCAUGGCUUCCAUCAUAGAAACAUGCACUGACGAACUAUUGUUUACCGAAUCUGGGCGGCAAGCAUUAAAAGACCCCGAAGGCUCGUCGCAACCCCUAGAGGAUAAAUCUCACCGGUGAACUCAUACAUUCUAUCCCCAGCCUGUCUGAUAGACUGUACAGUGAUUGCAUGCCAUUUGUCCACUUGAUGAGACAUGUUCAAACGAACUAUGUUUGCACCGGCCAUCAUCAUAUUGACGAUAGCUCCAGGAUCAGAGUUCGCGACACCUAGAUCAAACGUAAAUAAUUGAGAAAAUUCAACUCUAUCUGUGCUGUCUGUUAGAAACAUCACAAAACAACUUCACCAGCCUCUACCAUCAUUUCAUCUAUAAUAAUCAAGUUCAUACACAUCAGGUUGUAUCGAAAUUACAAUUCAGAGCUCCAACAAUACUUCAUGCUGACUCGCCACAAGACCUGCGGAAGUCGGCGGUGUAAUCUGGACUAUCACUAUCAUUCUACACAUCUGCAUACGAUAGUUGCAAUGGUCCCGGUUCAAGUAACAAAGUUCCAGUCACCUUAUAUUAUGUAUGCAAAGUCGAAUGACAAGGAUUGCUAGACUGCAGAUUUUUAUGCAAGAUAAAAAUGAUCCAUAUCAAUUGUAAAAAGCAGUAGCUUGAAAUUUCUUCCUUUGUUCAACAAUCUCUACGUAAAUUGUGAAUAAUGCAUCAUUUUUAAAUCCUUCGAAUCCUUCCACUGAUCCAAAUUUCUUCUACUC